GCUGCAUGGAAACCUGAUCCUUUGAGUAAAGCGACCCAUGUCUGUUAUUCCCACCACUAUUUCCAGUGGAAAUAAUGAAAAAUCACAAGCCAUUAAUUUCCACCAACAAAAAUCACUCUCAAACGUGGAAUCAGAAGAAUCUGCUACUGAAAUGGAUGCUUCCACUAAUUUUUGUUUUCGCUGCGUUUCAUCUCCACAAAAUUAUCUCUCUCUCUCUCUAAAAAUAAAGUUUUGGUUUAGUGUCAGUCAUGGGUGCGAUUGCGAAGAAAGGAUGGAACUAUUACCUCUUACAGUUGCACCAUCAUCCUCUCGGGACCAAGGCCAUUACUGCCGGCGCUUUGGCCGGAUGCAGUGAUGCGGUUGCGCAGAAGCUGUCUGGCAUUCCAAGGAUUCAAUUGCGGCGUUUCCUUCUGAAAGUGCUUUUUGGAUUUGCAUAUGGAGGACCAUUUGGGCAUUUCAUGCAUAAACUAAUGGAUAUAAUUUUCAAGGGCAAGAAAGAUUCCAAAACAGUGGUUAAGAAGGUGUUGUUGGAACAAUUGACUGCUUCUCCUUGCAACCACUUGGCUUUCUUGAUUUAUUAUGGAUGGAUAGUUGAGGGGAGACCAUGGCAUCAGGUCAAGGAUAAAGUUAAAAAGGAUUAUCCUUCAGUGCAACUCACAGCAUGGAUGUUCUGGCCAAUUGUUGGUUGGAUAAAUCACCAGUAUCUGCCUCUGCAGCUCCGUGUUGUGUUCCACAGCUUUAUUGCGUGUUGCUGGGGAAUAUUUCUCAAUCUCCGAGCCCGAACUGUUGCUUCAAUCAAGGCUUAAUGCAAUGGACUUGACUCAUCUCAGCUUAGCGAGUCGUGGCAUGGCAAGAUCUCCUCGGGCUGUUGCAUUAAAGGGGAUGUUGCCCCAUGUAAAAAUGUUCCUGAGGCUACCAAAGAGGAGAUUAUACAAUAUUUGAGUUCAAGGAAGCACAAAAAGAUAGAAAAGUGUAGAGCAACCAAGACUCCUAAGGCAUCAUCUGAACAUAUUAAUAAAAAUGAGGUAGAAGAAGAGGAGGUAGAUGCAGAUUCAGAAGAAACAGAGAAGGACGAGCGUUAUAUUGAAGAGGGAGAUGACGUUGAUGAUGAUGGUCUCCAAUCUAAUGCAUAUGAUGAGGCU